UACGGGGGGGGCUAGCGUUGUUCGGAAUUACCGGGCGUAAAGGGCGCGUAGGCGGUCUGCUAAGUUGGAUGUGAAAACUCUGGGCUUAACCCAGAGCCUGCAUUCAAUACUGACAGGCUAGAGUUCUGGAGGGGAUAGCGGAAUUCCUGGUGUAGCGGUGAAAUGCGUAGAUAUCUGGAGGAAUACCGGUGGCGAAGGCGGCAUCCUGGACCGGCAUUGACGCUGAGGAGCGAAAGCCAGGGGAGCAAACGGG
rnacentral:rRNA from 1 species